CCUACGGGAGGCAGCAGUGGGGGAUAUUGCACAAUGGGGGAAACCCUGAUGCAGCGACGCCGCGUGUGGGAAGACGGUCCUCUGGAUUGUAAACCACUGUCCCCAGGGACGAAAAUGACGGUACUUGCGGAGGAACCUCCGGCUAACUACGUGCCAGCAGCCGCGGUAAUACGUAGGGAGCGAGCGUUGUCCGGAAUUACUGGGUGUAAGGGGGGCGUAGGCGGGGAUGCAAGUUGGGUGGCAAAACUACUGGCUCAACUGGUAGUCGCACUCAAAACUGCAGCUCUUGAGUGAAGUAGAGGCAGGCGGAAUUCCUAGUGUAGCGGUGAAAUGCGUAGAUAUUAGGAGGAACACCAGUGGCGAAGGCGGCCUGCUGGGCUUUUACUGACGCUGAGGCUCGAAAGUGUGGGGAGCAAACAGGAUUAGAUACCCUAGUAGUC
rnacentral:rRNA from 1 species